AAUGGCAUACCCUCCCGGAGCUUCCUCCCUUGAGGGAAAAAGCUUUUUAGUUAAAACCUCUUCCCCGGGGUAAUUCCUGACGGUACUGGAGGAAUCAGCAUCGCCUAAAUUCGUUCCAGCAGCCGCGGUAAUAAGGAGGAUGCAAGCCUUAUCCGGAAUAAUUGGGCGUAAAGCGUUUGUAGGUGGUUUUUUAAAUAUCCUGUUAAAGCGUGUAGCUCCCCUCCAUUUAGGCAGUGGAAUCUACACUACUUAAUUCCGUUGGGGGUAGAGGGAAUUCCUGCUGUAGCGGUUAAAUGAGUAGAGAUCAGGAUGUUC
rnacentral:rRNA from 1 species